UACGUAGGGGGCAAGCGUUGUCCGGAAUUAUUGGGCGUAAAGCGCGCGCAGGCGGUUCUUUAAGUCUGGUGUCUAAGUGCGGGGCUCAACCCCGUGAUGCACUGGAAACUGGGGAACUUGAGUGUAGGAGAGGAAAGUGGAAUUCCACGUGUAGCGGUGAAAUGCGUAGAGAUGUGGAGGAACACCAGUAGGCGAAGGCAAUCCCCUGGGCCUGCACUGACGCUCAUGCACGAAAGCGUGGGGAGCAAACAGG
rnacentral:rRNA from 1 species